rnacentral:rRNA from 1 species
GACGAACGCUGGCGGCGUGCUUAACACAUGCAAGUCGAGCGGAAAGGCCACUUCGGUGGUACUCGAGCGGCGAACGGGUGAGUAACACGUGAGUAAUCUGCCCUUGGCUUUGGGAUAGCCACCGGAAACGGUGAUUAAUACCGGAUACGACCACUUCUCGCAUGGGAUGGUGGUGGAAAGUUUUUCGGCCAGGGAUGUGCUCGCGGCCUAUCAGCUUGAUGGUGAGGUAAUGGCUCACCAUGGCUUCGACGGGUAGCCGGCCUGAGAGGGUGACCGGGCACACUGGGACUGAGACACGGCCCAGACGCCUACGGGAGGCAGCAGUGGGGAAUAGUGGACAAUGGGCGGAAGCCUGAUCCAGCAACGCCGCGUGAGGGAUGACGGCCUUCGGGUUGUAAACCUCUUCCGGUAGGGACGAAGCGCAAGUGACGGUACCUACUAAAGAAGCACCGGCCAACUACGUGCCAGCCGCCGCGGUAAUAC